rnacentral:rRNA from 1 species
GGAGGAUCCGAGCGUUAUCCGGAUUUAUUGGGUUUAAAGGGAGCGCAGACGGGAGAUUAAGUCAGUUGUGAAAGUUUGCGGCUCAACCGUAAAAAUGCAGUUGAUACUGGUUUCCUUGAGUGCAGUUGAGGCAGGCGGAAUUCGUGGUGUAGCGGUGAAAUGCUUAGAUAUCACGAAGAACCCCGAUUGCGAAGGCAGCUUGCNUAAACUUGAACUGACGUUCAUGCUCGAAAGUGUGGGUAUCAANACAGGAUUAGAUACCCUGGUAGUCCACACGGUAANACGAUGGAUACUCGCUGUUGGCGAUNUACUGUCAGCGGCCNNGCGAANGCAUUNNGUNUCCCACCUGGGGAGU